rnacentral:lncRNA from 1 species
UAGUCCUGAAAUAUAAUCUUCCCACGGGGGUAAAUGGAACUUUGAACUUAGUUUUAAAAAUGGCUCUUAAGUGAUACCAACAUAAUGGUGCAGAUUAGAUUAAUACCUAAAGAGCUGAAAUGAAUUAAGCAAUUAAAGAUACUUUCCUUCUUGAUUUCCCUUUUGGAUACAGGAAUUUCAAUCAGAAAGAGCACCUGGAAUUUGCAAAUGAGGAGAUCAUAUACGUGAAAGUAAUUUAUAAAAUAGAAAGUGUAAUUAAACUAAUAAUGCUAUUUUAAAUUACAUUUGUCUCAUUGAACAAGUGGGUCUUGUUUAUUAAAUUGUAAUUUUGAUGGUCAGAUAAAAUUGUGUUUAGGUGAGAAAACGACUACGAUGAAAGAGAGAAAAGAGGACGAGGGAGAGAGAAUAAAGAAUCAAUGGUGCCUCCAUGUGAAUGAGACAUUUUGGAGCAGAGAACUGAGAAAACAGACACAAAGAAAAGAGGAGUUUCUGAUUUCUGCUUUUGAGAAUUUACAGUGUUAUUCCCAUUUGGGAAAUCAGAAUGAAGCAUCUUCACAUGAUGGAGAACCAGGUGUGAGGCACAAUUAGUACAUGAAAUGAAGUAUGGGAGAGGACCCAUCAGAGUCAGGAGGUCUGUUUCAGUGAGUUAUGAGGCAGUGGUGCAUCAUCUCCUCUAGGCCUUCAUUUGUUCAUCUGUGAAUGGCAAUGACAUUACCCAAUGUUGCUGACUGCAUGGUUGUGGAGUGGUAAAUGCGAGAACAAACUCUUUGAGGUGUGAAGAUGAUGCACAAUAAGGUGAGUAUCAUAUUCAUAAAAGGCUGUGAUACGUGUGAACAAUAUCUCCAUUUAAUGUCUCCUAACAAGGGUGCCUGAGUGGCUCAGUCAGUUGAGCAUCUGACUCUUGUUUUUGGCUCAGGGUCAUGAUCUUGAGGUUAUGGGGCUGAGCCCUGUGUCAGGCUCCCUGCUCAGUGGGCAGUCAGCUUCUUCCCCUCUCUGUCUGCCUCUCCCCGGAGUUGCACACUCUAAAAUAAAGAAAUAAAUCUUUAAAAAUAGAUAAAUAGAUGCCUCCUAACAACAUCUAUAAGAAAACACUCCUCUUAGCAUUGGAUCAAAUGUUGCAUUUUUGUUUCCUUUAGAUCCUUGAUGUUAU